rnacentral:rRNA from 1 species
CCUACGGGUGGCAGCAGUGAGGAAUAUUGGUCAAUGGGCGCAAGCCUGAACCAGCCAAGUAGCGUGCAGGAUGACUGCCCUACGAGUUGUAAACUUCUUUUAUAAAGGGAUAAAGUGAGGCACGUGUGCCUUUUUGUAUGUACUUUAUGAAUAAGGAUCGGCUAACUCCGUGCCAGCAGCCGCGGUAAUACGGAGGAUCCGAGCGUUAAUCGGAUUUAUUGGGCGUAAAGCGCUCGUAGGCGGUAUGUCAAGUCAAGGGUGAAAUCCCCGGGCUCAACGUGGGAAUUGCCUUUGAAACUGGCAGGCUAGAGAGUAGGAGAGGUAAGUGGAAUGCAAGGUGUAGGAGUGAAAUCCGUAGAGAUC